AGAGUCGACUCUUCAGCCAUCAACGCCUCGCGGUGCUUCCUGCCUGCCCUUCCUCAGAUGCUCCCCUUGCCCUAUCAAUACGUCCACCCCAGGUAGGUCGGACACCCUACGAACAUUCCGCGUUCCCCGGGAGCAAAUGAUGCUAGGAAAACAGGGUGCGGGCUCUUAUUUGGCCGGAGUGGAGUGACCAGGUCAGCGCCGCAGCUGCUAACCACCACCAACCACAGUUUUGAAAGUUCCUGGGCUUUUUCCGGCCUGAGGGCCGACGCUGUUUGCAAAAUCACAAGCACUCCUUAGAGCGGGGUUAGGAAUCUAGAGUUUCCAAAUCCCUGGAACCUUUAGCAUCUCGCCAAGCCUCCCUCAUCAAAGGAGGGAAGUGAAAUCAGAGCCCCACUCCGGCUGUUUUAGAAGUUUUCCCGAAUCCGUGAUCCCUUUACAAAGCCCGGGCCCUGGCCUGCGGGGCGGGGCGCGCGAACGGCGAGCUAUUCCACCAGAGAUCCCUCCACGACCUCCAGCGGCAUCCGCGACCCUGCAGCUUGCUCUCCAGCCACGGCGAGCACGGGCCGGGGGAGAGGCGAGCGGGAAGGGCGAACGGCGACCCCCGCGCUGCCCCGCGGCCGCUUCCCCCUACGGUGCUGCCCCAGGCAGGAGGCGGACAAGGCUCAUUUGGACCCCCCGAGGCCGGUGCAGGCGG
rnacentral:lncRNA from 1 species